GAUGAACGCUGGCGGCAGGCUUAACACAUGCAAGUCGAGCGGGGGAAGGUAGCUUGCUACUGGACCUAGCGGCGGACGGGUGAGUAAUGCUUAGGAAUCUGCCUAUUAGUGGGGGACAACAUCUCGAAAGGGAUGCUAAUACCGCAUACGUCCUACGGGAGAAAGCAGGGGAUCUUCGGACCUUGCGCUAAUAGAUGAGCCUAAGUCGGAUUAGCUAGUUGGUGGGGUAAAGGCCUACCAAGGCGACGAUCUGUAGCGGGUCUGAGAGGAUGAGCCGCCACACUGGGACUGAGACACGGCCCAGACUCCUACGGGAGGCAGCAGUGGGGAAUAUUGGACAAUGGGGGGAACCCUGAUCCAGCCAUGCCGCGUGUGUGAAGAAGGCCUUAUGGUUGUAAAGCACUUUAAGCGAGGAGGAGGCUACUCUAGUUAAUACCUAGGGAUAGUGGACGUUACUCGCAGAAUAAGCACCGGCUAACUCUGUGCCAGCAGCCGCAGUAA
rnacentral:rRNA from 1 species